AUUUUUUAGCUCACCUGGCCCGAAGGGCCAAGUGAGCUUUUCUCAUCACUUGGCGUCCGUCGUCCGUCGUCGUCCGUCGUCGUCGUCGUCCGUCGUCGUUAACUUUUACAAAAAUCUUCUCCUCUGAAACUACUGGGCCAAAUCAAACCAAACUUGGCCACAAUCAUCAUUGGGGUAUCUAGUUUAAAAAAUGUGUGGCGUGACUCGGUCAACCAACCAAGAUGGCCGCCACGGCUAAAAAUAGAACAUAGGGGUAAAAUGCAGUUUUUGGCUUAUAACUCAAAAACCAAAGCAUUUAGAGCAAAUCUGACAGGGGUAAAAAUGUUUAUCAGGUCAAGAUCUAUCUGCCCUGAAAUUUUCAGAUGAAUCGGUCAAUCGGUUGUUGGGUUGCUGCCCCUGAAUUGGUAAUUUUGAGGAAAUUUUGCUGUUUUUUGGUUAUUAUCUUGAAUAUUAUUAUAGAUAGAGAUAAACUGUAAACAGCAAUAAUGUUCAGCAAAGUAAGAUCUACAAAUAAGUCAACAUGACAAAAAUGGUCAGUUGACCCGUUUAGGAGUUAUUGCCC
rnacentral:lncRNA from 1 species